rnacentral:rRNA from 1 species
CAGUCGCCGCGGGAAUACGGAGGGUGCAAGCGUUAAUCGGAAUUACUGGGCGUAAAGCGCACGCAGGCGGUCUGACAAGUCAGAUGUGAAAUCCCCGGGCUUAACCUGGGAACUGCAUUUGAAACUGUCAGGCUGGAGUCUUGUAGAGGGGGGUGGAAUUCCAGGUGUAGCGGUGAAAUGCGUAGAGAUCUGGAGGAAUACCGGUGGCGAAGGCGGCCCCCUGGACAAAGACUGACGCUCAGGUGCGAAAGCGUGGGGAGCAAACAGGAUUAGAUCCCCUGUAGUCCCUGUCUCUUAUACA